rnacentral:rRNA from 1 species
AGUGAACGCUGGCGGUAGGCCUAACACAUGCAAGUCGAACGGCAGCACAGUAAGAGCUUGCUCUUACGGGUGGCGAGUGGCGGACGGGUGAGGAAUACAUCGGAAUCUACUUUUUCGUGGGGGAUAACGUAGGGAAACUUACGCUAAUACCGCAUACGACCUACGGGUGAAAGCAGGGGAUCUUCGGACCUUGCGCGGUUGAAUGAGCCGAUGUCGGAUUAGCUAGUUGGCGGGGUAAAGGCCCACCAAGUCGACGAUCCGUAGCUGGUCUGAGAGGAUGAUCAGCCACACUGGAACUGAGACACGGUCCAGACUCCUACGGGAGGCAGCAGUGGGGAAUAUUGGACAAUGGGCGCAAGCCUGAUCCAGCCAUACCGCGUGGGUGAAGAAGGCCUUCGGGUUGUAAAGCCCUUUUGUGGGGAAAGAAAAGCAGCAGGUUAAUACCCCGCUGUUCUGACGGUACCCAAAGAAUAAGCACCGGCUAACUUCGUG